GUUUAUUACUAGGUGGGUUUGAAAGAUCCCCAAAGGGAGACCCUCACUCAAGCCUCGGGAUGUGGCGCGGACCCAAGAGAGACACGGAGACCA
rnacentral:pre_miRNA from 7 species